rnacentral:lncRNA from 13 species
AAAAAAGAAUGCUAACUUGCUAAAAAUUCUUUCUUGUUCACAGCCUACAGUCCAUAUGCUUAAGUCUAUUGUGUCUUGAUCUAAGAAGAGAUGCAGAACAGAUGAGAAAGAAAGAAAGGUUUUCCUUUUUUUCUAGAGAAAGAAAGACAGAAAGAAAGAAAGAAGAAAGAAAGAGAAAGAAGAAAGAAAGAAAGAAAAUAAAGAAAGAAAGAAAGAAAGAAAGAAAGAAAAAGAAGGAAAGAAAGAAAGAGAAGGAAAGAAAGAAAGAAAGAAGAAGGAAAGAAAGAAAAAGGAAUGAACAAGAGGAAAAAAGACGAAGAGGAGGAGGGAGAGAGAACGGGAGUGUUGCUUAAUUGCCCAGGCUAGAAUGAAGUCUAAAAAUGGGUAUUGAAAACCUCCCUUAUACCAUCAAUUGUGCUUAAUAAUGGCCAACCAAUAUUUCAUUUAAACCUGUGAGUAGGUGUGAUGUGGUACUGAUAAGAGUGCAUAUCCUGUGUGUU